GUAGGGUGCGAGCGUUAAUCGGAAUUACUGGGCGCAAAGCGUGCGCAGGCGGUUUUGUAAGCCAGAUGUGAAAUCCCCGGGCUUAACCUGGGAAUGGCAUUUGGGACUGCAAGGCUUGAGUGUGGCAGAGGAGACUGGAAUUCCUGGUGUAGCAGUGAAAUGCGUAGAUAUCAGGAGGAACACCGAUGGCGAAGGCAGGUCUCUGGGCUGACACUGACGCUCAUGCACGAAAGCGUGGGGAGCAAACAGGAUUAGAUACCCUGGUAGUCCACGCUGUAAACGAUGAGUGCUAGUUGUCGGCAUGCAUGCAUGUCGGUGACGCAGCUAACGCAUUAAGCAUCCCGCCUGGGGAGUACGGUCGCAAGGUUA
rnacentral:rRNA from 1 species